GUUCACUCAUCCAUAAACUGCAUUGUCAGCUCUCACAAGGUGGACAAUGGGGACAGUCCACAUGUGAGAACAGGAAUCAAACAGUUUUAGACUCAAACAGAAAAAAAAUGUCAUGAAUCAAACAGUUUGACUGUUUUCAGCCUGUCGGAGGUCCGUUUUUAUUAA